rnacentral:rRNA from 1 species
AUUGAACGCUGGCGGCAGGCCUAACACAUGCAAGUCGAACGAGUGGCGGACGGGUGAGUAAUGUCUGGGAAACUGCCUGAUGGAGGGGGAUAACUACUGGAAACGGUAGCUAAUACCGCCUACCAUCCGAUGUGCCCAGAUGGGAUUAGCUUGUUGGUGGGGUAACGGCUCACCAAGGCGACGAUCCCUAGCUGGUCUGAGUGGAGGACCAGCCCAACUGGAACUGAGAAAGGGCCCGAACCCCUAGGGGGGGCAGAAGGGGGGAACUUUGGAAAAGGGGGAAAGGCCGACGGCAGCAAUGCCGGUGAGAGGUAACGGGCCUUCGGGUUGUAAAGUCCUUUUAUCGGGAAGGCGUUACCCGCAUAAAAAGCACCGGCUAACUCCGUGCCAGCAGCCGCGGUAAUUC